rnacentral:rRNA from 1 species
CCGUCCUACGGGAGGCAGCAGUGAGGAAUAUUGGUCAAUGGGCGCAAGCCUGAACCAGCCAUGCCGCGUGCAGGAUGACGGUCCUAUGGAUUGUAAACUGCUUUUGUACGGGAAGAAACCCUCCUACGUGUAGGAGCUUGACGGUACCGUAAGAAUAAGGAUCGGCUAACUCCGUGCCAGCAGCCGCGGUAAUAGAAUAAGAA